GAUGAACGCUGGCGGCGUGCCUAAUACAUGCAAGUCGAGCGAAGCGGGGACGGGUGAGUAACACGUGGCUACCCUCCUUUAGGACUGGGAUAACUCUGGGAAACCUGAGCUAAACCGGAUACUUAUAGAUGGCUCCUCGCUGCUUGAGCUAGUUGGUAAGGUAACGGCUUACCAGGGCAACGAUGCAUUGCGGACCGGAGAGGGUGGUCGGCGACACUGGAACUGAGACAUGGUCCAGAGGCCUACGGGAGGCAGCAGUGGGGAUUCUUCCGCACUGGGCGAAAGCCUGACGGAGCAACGCCGCGUGAGUAAUGAAGGUCUUCGGAUCGUUAAGCUUUGUUAGGAGGGGAGCGGUACCUAAACAGAAAGCGCCGGCUAACUACGUGCCAGCAGCCGCGGUAAUAC
rnacentral:rRNA from 1 species